GGAAUUCCUGGCAGAGUGAUUU
rnacentral:miRNA from 8 species